UGCGAUAGGGCAAGGGGCAGAGCCGGGACUGCCAAAGUGAAGCGGCGCGCCACAGAAGCAUGAGAACCAUUCAUGCCUGUCAUUGCCGACGCCGGUACAGCCACGCAGGAUCAUACCCUGUAUAAAAAAUGGGCUGUAUCACCGCACAAAGAAUGCGGGGCCUGGCGGUGCAGCGCGUUCUGGUAAAAAAACUCGGAGGGAAAUGCACGUAUGAUGGUUCCAUGCGUGCGUUUUC
rnacentral:sRNA from 12 species